GGGCAAACAGUGAAAAGAAAAAAGUGAAAAAGAAAGGGACGACUCAUCUUUUAAAUAGAUGGUCCCGAUCUCGAGUCGACUCGAGCUUUUUGCUAGAGUUGGUUUGAAUAAGAGUCGACUCAGAUUUAACUAUAAGUCAACUCGAGCUUAGUCUCAAAUAAAAAAAUAUUAAAUUUUCAAAAGAAAUCUAAUUCUUUAAUGCAUAGG
rnacentral:lncRNA from 1 species